UCCCCAGGCUUGCUGGGGGGAUUAGUGGCGAACGGGUGAGUAACACGUGAGUAACCUGCCCUUAACUCUGGGAUAAGCCUGGGAAACUGGGUCUAAUACCGGAUAUGACUCCUCAUCGCAUGGUGGGGGGUGGAAAGCUUUUGUGGUUUUGGAUGGACUCGCGGCCUAUCAGCUUGUUGGUGAGGUAAUGGCUCACCAAGGCGACGACGGGUAGCCGGCCUGAGAGGGUGACCGGCCACACUGGGACUGAGACACGGCCCAGACUCCUACGGGAGGCAGCAGUGGGGAAUAUUGCACAAUGGGCGCAAGCCUGAUGCAGCGACGCCGCGUGAGGGAUGACGGCCUUCGGGUUGUAAACCUCUUUCAGUAGGGAAGAAGCGAAAGUGACGGUACCUGCAGAAGAAGCGCCGGCUAACUACGUGCCAGCAGCCGCGGUAAUACGUAGGGCGCAAGCGUUAUCCGGAAUUAUUGGGCGUAAAGAGCUCGUAGGCGGUUUGUCGCGUCUGCCGUGAAAGUCCGGGGCUCAACUCCGGAUCUGCGGUGGGUACGGGCAGACUAGAGUGAUGUAGGGGAGACUGGAAUUCCUGGUGUAGCGGUGAAAUGCGCAGAUAUCAGGAGGAACACCGAUGGCGAA
rnacentral:rRNA from 1 species